AUGUUGCCUGUAGCUCUGCUACUGUUAGCAGUUGGAUCAUGUGUAAAGUGUGAACAGCUGACACAGUCAGGCCCUGUGACUUUGCAGCCAGGUCAACGUCUGACUAUCAGUUGUCAGGUCACUUAUUCUAUAAGCACUUACUGGACAGCUUGGAUCAGACAGCCUGCAGGGAAAGGACUGGAGUGGAUUGGAGGAUCAGGUGUUGGACAUAGCACAUUCUACAAAGAUUCACUAAAGAACAAGUUCAGUAUCAGCUUAGACUCUUCCAGCAAGACAGUGACUCUAAAUGGACAGAAUCUGCAGCCUGAAGACACUGCUGUGUAUUACUGUGCCAGGAAACCGCAAUAA